rnacentral:misc_RNA from 2 species
UUAAUCUCUCAAAGGAUUGGGCAAUCCGUCCUUUGGAUUUGGGUCUUGCUGUGAACUGCUUCUCAGCUUGCCUUGAAUGCAUUAGCAAGCCUUCAAUUUGGGACAUUUUUCAAUGAGGUGUUCUAAAAAUUGUUUGGGGUCAUCCUCAAUCAGAAAAAGGCCCUUGUUUGGAUGACUUGCUUCUAAAAAUCAAUAACUCUCCCAAGGGUUAUCAAUCUCUUA